rnacentral:rRNA from 1 species
AUGAUCCCUCUCUCUGAAGAUGAGAUCUUUGAAACAAUCCGCUCUGCCAACUCUAAUGCGGCUUCGAGGCCUGAUGGCUUCUCCAUUCCUUUCUUUAGGCAGUUCUGGCCUCAGUUAAAGGGCCUCAUACAGGCGAUUAUCCAAGGUUUUUGGCUGGGAACUGUUGACAUCUCUAGAUUGAAUUAUGCGGUGCUCACUCUCAUUCCUAAAGUCAAAGGGGCUGACCUGAUUUCCCAAUUUAGGCCAAUUGCCUUAAUCAAUAAUUUUGCGAAGCUCCCGGCUAAGGGUUUGGCUACUAGGCUCUCUCCGAUCGCCCAUCGUGUCAUUAGUCCUUUCCAAUCUGCGUUCCUAAAGGGUAGAUUUAUUCUAGAUGGUGUAAUAUGCUUGCAUGAGAUUGUCCAUGACUUGCGAAUCAAGGGUACUAAGGCGGUGGUUCUCAAACUCGACUUCGAGAAGGCUCACGACUCGGUGAGCUGGAAUUUCCUUCGCCAAGUCCUUCUUGCUAAAGGUUUUGAGGGAGCGGUGGUUCAUCGUCUUAUGCAGCUAGUCUCGGGAGGUCAUACGGCUGUGUCGGUCAAUGGGAAGAUAAGUAAUUUCUUUGCCAAUGGCAGGGGCCUUAGGCAAGGAGACCCGGCUUCUCCCCUUCUCUUUAAUUUAGUAGCAGAUGCUCUCUCUCUCAUAUCCUAUCUCGGGCAGCUCUUGCUGGACACAUUACGCCUGUCAGUUCUCACCUAA